GAGGGUAUAGCUCAAGUGAUAGAGUGCAUGCUUAGCACGCACAAGGUCCUGGGUUCAAUCCCCAGUACCUCCU
rnacentral:tRNA from 1 species